AUAAAUAAAAGGAAAUCGACACGGGUUGAAAAAUAAAAUCCUCUUAUUAAAAUAACUCCAUAAUCCUUACAGGGUGUACAAAAGUAAUAAAUUAAAAUCCUUAAACUUCUCCUCAAUCACAACCUUAGCUCUUCUAACACCUGUCUUGCCAAAUAACUCAUCUGUAAAAUAAUAGGUGAGAAGUGAGCAACAACCACCGUCGCUCAGUAAGAAGAAUAUAUAAUAUGCCAAUCAAGCUUGUUAUUUUAAUCAUACUAUAAAAUAGGAUAAUAAUAUCAAAGCUUUAACCACAUAAUUCCAUAUCACAUCAUCCCUUUACGUGUUCAUUACAUCCUUCAUAAAUUGUAACUCACCACGUGACCCCUAUUGGCCUUUCCGCCCUAAUGUCCUCGUGUGCGGUUUACAUUUAUCCCUCGAAUUAAUGCAACACUAAAGUUCUCAUGCUCCAUGAACAUUUCCAAAUAAUCUACAUAUCACGAUAUAUAAUAACUCCAAAACAUUUCAACAAAUCCAACAUGCUUGACUUGAAAUAGAUAGAGUUUUAUAAAUAGAUAAAACCCACAAUAGUUCAUGGCUUUCAUUUAUCGAAAAUAAGAACUUUUAAACACAUUACAUAAACCACUCACCUCGAUAAUCCAAGCUUUGGCAACACAACUCAACUAACAUUUCUACAAACCUCAAACCCUAGCUCGCUAUCUUUCUCUGUCUCUAUAUAUAUAGCAUAAGUACAGAACAUGUUUGCAUGCAUUUGCAUGUCAAACUCUCAUACUUUCUUUCUCUGCAAAGGCUUAACAUGCACACCUUGCAUGUAACCAUAUAUCUGACUACACCGUCCAACCCGUGCAUCAAUUGGUAACCAAAACCAAAGGAAUGAAGUCCCUAUUUAUAGGGAAAAAGGCAGCUACCAAUGUAAUUUGAUUGGAUGAUGUGACAACAAGGAUAAAACCAAUGGACCUGUCUAGAUCUUCUACAAGCUCCUGCAUGUGAAGAUGAGAAAAGCUGAUACUGUGCAUCCAACACCAAAUUGCUUAGUCAUUUAGUUGAUUCAACAGGUGUCAAUAGACACUCAAAAGAUUUAACCUGCACCUGCCACCUACAAAAGUGCUUACAAGCACCUUAAUUCAGAUAGCUAAGAACCAAGUCAUAACACGUCCAACCUUAGGUGGAUCUCUAAGUUUACUGGAAUUACACACCUACUAAUCUGCAUGAAACAUUUAAGCGACCUCCCACCUUUAAUCCUCUCAACUCAAACCUUAAUCAUAAAAAUAAGAUAGUGUCAAUAUGCAUAACUACAUGCAUAGUACGUCCACUUUGGUAAUUUAUCCUAGUUAGAAAAAUAAUAUCCAUAAUAAAUUCUAAUAAUUUGGGAUCUUACAUGAUGGUUGCCAAGGGUUCUACUUCAGCCCACUUUGUGAAGUAGUCAACUGCAAUGAUUGCAUAGCGGACCUUACCCUUCCCUGCAGGCAUUGGGCUGAUCAAAUCAAGUCCCCAUUGGGCGAAGGGCCAAGGGCUGAUAAUAGGAGUGAGCGGCUUGGGAGGGGAGUGAGAAAU
rnacentral:lncRNA from 1 species